CCUACGGUGUGCAGCAGUGAGGAAUAUUGGUCAAUGGGCGUAAGCCUGAACCAGCCAAGUCGCGUGCGGGAUGAAGGUUCUAUGGAUCGUAAACCUCUUUUAUAUGGGAAUAAAGUGCGGGACGUGUCCCGUUUGUUAUGUAUCUUAUGAAUAAGGAUCGGCUAACUUCGUGCCAGCAGCCGCGGUAAUACGGAGGAUCCGAGCGUUAUCCGGGUUUAUUGGGUGUAUAGGGUGCGUAGGCGGCCUUUUAAGUCAGCGGUGAAAGUCUGUGGCUCAACCCUAGAAUUGCCGUUGAAACUGGGAGGCUUGAGUAUGUUUGAGGCAGGCGGAAUGCGUGGUGUAGCGGUGAAAUGCUUAGAUAUCACGAAGAACCCCGAUUGCGAAGGCAGCCUGCCAAGCCAUGACUGACGCUGAUGCACGAAAGCGUGGGGAUCAAACAGGAUUAGAUACCCGAGUAGUC
rnacentral:rRNA from 1 species